AACAUGAAUAAAGAACCAAGAAUUCUAUGGAGAUGCCCUUAAGAUUAAGCGUGCAAGGAAUUGAACCAAAGUGUAUAAUGUCUAUUACUUCUAGCAUCACUUAUUAAUAAGCUUGCAAUCAAAGAAUUUAGACCAAGAUGGUUUGUGUAUUCUUUUCAUAUUGUUACUAAAACAUACUGUGAGGUUUGCCAAAAUAUAAUAGACAUUGAAGCUUAAAA
rnacentral:misc_RNA from 1 species